UACGUAGGUGGCAAGCGUUGUCCGGAAUUAUUGGGCGUAAAGCGCGCGCAGGCGGUCCUUUAAGUCUGAUGUGAAAGCCCACGGCUCAACCGUGGAGGGUCAUUGGAAACUGGGGGACUUGAGUGCAGAAGAGGAAAGCGGAAUUCCACGUGUAGCGGUGAAAUGCGUAGAGAUGUGGAGGAACACCAGUGGCGAAGGCGGCUUUCUGGUCUGUAACUGACGCUGAGGCGCGAAAGCGUGGGGAGCGGACAGG
rnacentral:rRNA from 1 species